CCAGUGUGGAUACCCCCAAGAACUCACUCUCCCUGGGCCCUGUCCAGGUUGUGUAGGGGAGCAUAGGGCUCUGCCUGGUGAUGUACAGUCCCUUUCCACAACGUUGGAGAGAAAGCCUGGCCUUCAGUCUGUGACUGCGUAUUCCUAUAGCUUCUCAGAUUUCUCUGGACAGUGACUGAGGAGACAAACCAUAAAGGAAACAUCU